GAUGAACGCUGGCGGCGUGCCUAAUACAUGCAAGUCGAGCGAACAGACGAGGAGCUUGCUCCUUCGACGUGAGCGGCGGACGUGUGAGUAACACGUAUGUAACCUACCUAUAAGACUGGGAUAACUUCGGGAAACCGGAGCUAAUACCGGAUAAUCUUUCGAACCGCAGGGUUCGAUGGUGAAAGAUGGCUUUGCUAUCACUUAUAGAUGGACCUGCGCCGUAUUAGCUAGUUGGUAAGGUAACGGCUUACCAAGGCAACGAUACGUAGCCGACCUGAGAGGGUGAUCGGCCACACUGGAACUGAGACACGGUCCAGACUCCUACGGGAGGCAGCAGUAGGGAAUCUUACGCAACGGGCGAAAGCCUGACGGAGCAACGCCGCGUGAGUGAUGACGGUCUUCGGAUCGUAAAACUCUGUUAUUAGGGAAGAACAAACGUGUACGUAACUGUGCACGUAUUGACGGUAACUAAUCAGAAAGCCACGGCUAACUACGUG
rnacentral:rRNA from 1 species